rnacentral:rRNA from 1 species
UACGGAGGGUGCAAGCGUUAUCCGGAUUCACUGGGUUUAAAGGGUGCGUAGGCGGUUUGUUAAGUCUGUUGUGAAAUCCCCGAGCUCAACUUGGGAAUUGCAAUGGAUACUGGCAGGCUGGAGUAUGGUAGAGGAAGGUGGAAUUCCCGGUGUAGCAGUGAAAUGCGUAGAGAUCGGGAGGAACACCAGUGGCGAAGGCGGCCUUCUGGACCAAUACUGACGCUCAUGCACGAAAGCGUGGGGAGCAAACAGG